rnacentral:rRNA from 1 species
UACGAAGGGGGCUAGCGUUGCUCGGAAUCACUGGGCGUAAAGGGUGCGUAGGCGGGUCUUUAAGUCAGGGGUGAAAUCCUGGAGCUCAGCUCCAGAACUGCCUUUGAUACUGAGGAUCUUGAGUUCGGGAGAGGUGAGUGGAACUGCGAGUGUAGAGGUGAAAUUCGUAGAUAUUCGCAAGAACACCAGUGGCGAAGGCGGCUCACUGGCCCGAUACUGACGCUGAGGCACGAAAGCGUGGGGAGCAAACGGG